rnacentral:rRNA from 1 species
CUCUUUGGACAGAUUCCUUCGGGAUGAAGUACAUUGAGACUUAGUGGCGAACGGGUGAGUAACACGUGAGCAACCAACCCUUGACAGUGGAAUAACAACGGGAAACCGUUGCUAAUACCACAUAAAAUCUUUAUACGGCAUCGUAUUUAGAUCAAAGAUUUAUCGGUCAAGGACGGGCUCGCGUCCGAUUAGGUAGUUGGUAAGGUAACGGCUUACCAAGCCUACGAUCGGUAGCCGGACUGAGAGGUCGAUCGGCCACAUUGGGACUGAGACACGGCCCAGACUCC